UCUUGCCUAUGAUGACUUGCAUGUUGCCUACAUUGUCUGAUUUAUCUCUGUGAUAAUAGUCGCAAGAUCUGAGGCUUCU
rnacentral:snoRNA from 2 species